rnacentral:tRNA from 1 species
GGCAGUGUGGCACAGUGGGGAAGGAUCUGGGCUUGUGACCGAAAGGUCGCAGGUUCGAUUCCCGGUAAGGACACUGCCG